UGGGGAAUAUUGGACAAUGGGCGCAAGCCUGAUCCAGCCAUGCCGCGUGAGUGAUGAAGGCCCUAGGGUUGUAAAGCUCUUUCACCGGUGAAGAUAAUGACGGUAACCGGAGAAGAAGCCCCGGCUAACUUCGUGCCAGCAGCCGCGGUAAUACGAAGGGGGCUAGCGUUGUUCGGAUUUACUGGGCGUAAAGAGCUUGUAGGCGGUUCGUCGCGUCUGGUGUGAAAGCCCAUCGCUUAACGGUGGGUUUGCGCCGGGUACGGGCGGGCUAGAGUGCAGUAGGGGAGACUGGAAUUCCCGGUGUAACGGUGGAAUGUGUAGAUAUCGGGAAGAACACCAAUGGCGAAGGCAGGUCUCUGGGCUGUUACUGACGCUGAGAAGCGAAAGCGUGGGGAGCGAACAGG
rnacentral:rRNA from 1 species